GCAAGUCGUACGUGAAAGCUUCCUUCGUGAAGUGAUUAAAGUGGCGCACGGGUUAGUAACACGUUGAUAAUCUACCCGAUAUUCAGGGAUAACAUUUCGAAAGGAAUGCUAAUACCUGAUAAGCCUACGCCCUCUUCGGAUGAAGUAGGAAAAGGUGGGGACCUUCGGGCCUGCCGUUGUUGGAUGAGUCCGCGGCCCAUUAGCUAGUUGGUAGGGUAAUGGCCUACCAAGGCUACGAUGGGUAGGGGUCCUGAGAGGGAGAUC
rnacentral:rRNA from 1 species